CAAUUGUAACGAAGUUAAAUACUUUUUCCACCAUAAAUAUUUUCUGUACUGAGGACCAAGUGCUGACAGCAUGUAGUAGAAAUACAUAAAAACGUGAACAAAGCAAUUCAGAGCACCUCCAAAAUAUGCUAGAAAAAGAAAAAUCUGUUUCAAACGUCUCAUUUUGCAUGUGUCCAAUUCAAUAGCUUGGAUUAAACACAAGCAAAAUUUCGACGUCUGAAACAAUAAUAUUCGACGUUUCCAAUUGCGCGGUCGACCGUAAAUUUUAAAUUCUUCUGGUGCGACCGCAUAAGCAAAGUGCGACGUGGUUUCAGACGUCAUAUUUUGCAUGUGUGGGAUUUAAUUCGGUUGGGCGUGGCUUGAAAGACUUCAUGUAAUUGUUAUAUGCAUAUUGAAAUGUAAUAUGUUGCUACUUCGGAAAAAGAGAAAUCUUUCGAUAUUUCUAUUUUUUGACAAAUUUUGCUGUUUUUGCAAUAGAUUCAUCACAACGAAUCAUAUGCUUCCACACUUUCAUCUCGACGAUGUUCUUUGAACGAUCUUCGGUAUAUUCUUAAGAAAAAUUUAAUACGAGAUUGUUAUGUCUUAAAGGGCGUAGACUUUUGCACGUAUAUAGUUCGCUCGAAUCUAAUACGAAUUGUAGUCGACACAUGAAAAUGCGACGUUUGAACCAAACCUGCAUGAGGUAUGUUAACAAAUAACUAUUUAUUCCCAAUGUGACUCCAUCAAAUGGCAGGUUGGGUUUAUUGGCAGAACUGGGGUGAAUGGCCCAAGAGGAACUGCAUAAGAGGGAAUACCGAACUAAAACAUAUACUGUAUACAAACGUUUCAAAACACUACAUAUUAUGCAUAUCUAAGAAUAAUUUUAAGAUUGUGUAAAAUUUGUUUCCUUUAAUUCCAAUCUUGAGUUUACAUGCAAGAUGUGGUUUGUUUACUUGCAUUACAAUUUUCGCUUAAUCAGUGUAGUUUUUUAA